rfam:Pyrenochaeta sp. DS3sAY3a unplaced genomic scaffold IQ07scaffold_34, whole genome shotgun sequence.
GGGCGUAUAGCUCAGUGGUAGAGCGCCCGCUUUGCAUCAUCGUGUGGUUUGCGGGAGGUCUGGAUUUCGAUCAUCCAUCCGUCCA